rnacentral:rRNA from 1 species
UUUAUGGAGAGUUUGAUCCUGGCUCAGGAUGAACGCUGGCGGCGUGCCUAAUACAUGCAAGUCGAGCGAACAGAUAAGGAGCUUGCUCCUUUGACGUUAGCGGCGGACGGGUGAGUAACACGUGGGUAACCUACCUAUAAGACUGGAAUAACUCCGGGAAACCGGGGCUAAUGCCGGAUAACAUGUUGAACCGCAUGGUUCUACAGUGAAAG